rnacentral:rRNA from 1 species
CUUGGUUGAUCCUGCUAGUAGUCAUAUGCUUGUCUCAAAGAUUAAGCCAUGCAUAUGUAAGUAUAAACAAAUUCAUAUUGUGAAACAACGAAUGGCUCAUUCAAUCAGUUAUAGUUUGUUUGAUGGUAUCUACUACUCGGAUAACCAUAGUAAUUCUAGAGCUAAUACGUGCAAAAAACCACGACAUGUGGAAGGGAUGCAUUUAUUAGAUAAAAGGUCGACGCAGGAUCUACCCAUUGUCGCGAUGAUUCAUUAUAACUCGACAGAUCGCACGACCAUCGUGACGGCGACGCAUCAUUCAAAUUUCUGCCCUAUUAACUUUCGAUGGUAGGAUAGUGGCCUACCAUGGUAGUGACAGGUGAUGGAGAAUUAGGGUUCGAUUUCUGAGAGGGAGCCUGAGAAACGGCUACCACAUCCAAGGAAGGUCGUAGGUGCGCAAAUUACCCAAUUCUGACACGGGGAGGUAGUGAUGAUAAAUAACAGUACCGGGCUCUACGAGUUUGGUAAUUGGAAUGAGUACAAUCUAAAUCCCUUAACGAGGAUCCAUUGGAGGGCAAGUCAAGUGCUAGCAGUCGCGGUAAGUCCAGCUCCAAUAGAGUAUAUUUAAGUUGUUGUAGUUAAAAGGCUCGUAGUUGGACUUUGGGAUGGGCCGGUCGGUCCGUCCUAGGUGUGCACCGGUUGUCUCGUCCCUUCUGUCGACGAUGCGCUCCUGGCCUUAAUUGGUUGGGUUGUACCUCCGACGCUUUUACUUUGAACAAAUUAGAGUGCUCAAAGCAAGCCUACGCUUGUAUUCAUUAGCAUGGGAUAAAAUUAUAGGAUUUCGAUCCUAUUACAUUUGCCUUCGGGAUCGAAUUAAUGAUUAACAGGGACCAUCGGGGGCAUUCCUAUUUCAUAGUCAGAGGUGAAAUUUUUAGAUUUAUGAAAGACGAACAACUGCGAAAGCAUUUGCCAAGGAUGUUUUAAUUAAUCAAGAAGGAAAGUUGGGGGCUCAAAGACGAUCAUAUACCGUCCUAGUCUCAACCAAAAAUGAUGCCGACCAGGGAUCGGCGGAUGAUGCUUUUAGGACUCCGCCGGCACCUUAUGAGAAAUCAAAGUUUUCUGGUUUCUGGGGGAGUAUUAUCGCAAGGCUGAAACUUAAAGGAAUUGACGUAAAGGCACCACCAGGAGUGGAGCCUGCGGCUUAAUUUGACUAAACAUGGGGAAACUUACCAGGUCCAUACAUAGUAAGGAUUGACAAACUAAGAGCUCUUUCUUCAUUCUAUGGGUGGUGGUGCAUGGCCCUUCGUAAUUGGUGGAGCGAUUUGACUAGUUAAUUCUGUUAACGAACGAGACCUCAGCCUAAUAACUAUCUAUGUGGACGUAUCCCUUCGCGGCCAACUUCUUAGAGGGACUAAAGCCUUUUAGGCUGCGGAAGUUUAAGGCAAUAACAGGUUUGUGAUGCCCUUAGAUGUUCUCGGCCGGACACGUGCUACACAGAUGUAUUAAACGAGCUUAUAGCCUUGGCCGACAGGCCUGGGUAAUCUUUGAAAUUUCAUAGUGAUGGGGAUAGAUCAUUGCAAUUGUUGGUCUUCAACGAGGAAUACCUAUGAAGCUCGAGUCAUCAGCUCGCGUUGACUAUGUCCAUGCCCUUUGUACACACCGCCCGUCGCUCCUACCGAUUGAAUGAUUGGGUGAAAUGUUUGGAUUGCGGCGACAUGGGCGGUUCGCUGCCCGCAAUAUUGCGAGUAAUCUAUUGAACCUUAUCAUUUAAAGGAAGGAGAAGUCGUAACAAGGUUUCCGUAGUUGAACCUGCGAAAG